AGCGAACGCUGGCGGCAGGCCUAACACAUGCAAGUCGAACGCCCCUUCGGGGAGGUGGCGGACGGGUGAGUAACGCGUGGGAACGUGCCCUUUGGUACGGAACAACUGAGGGAAACUUCAGCUAAUACCGUAUGUGCCCCCAUUCUUAGCGGGAUGGGUGGGAAAGAUUUAUCGCCAUUGGAGCGGCCCGCGUUAGAUUAGCUAGUUGGUAGGGUAAUGGCCUACCAAGGCGACGAUCUAUAGCUGGUCUGAGAGGAUGAUCAGCCACACUGGGACUGAGACACGGCCCAGACUCCUACGGGAGGCAGCAGUGGGGAAUCUUGCGCAAUGGGCGAAAGCCUGACGCAGCCAUGCCGCGUGAAUGAUGAAGGUCUUAGGAUUGUAAAAUUACUUUCACCGGGGACGAUAAUGACGGUACCCGGAGAAGAAGCCCCGGCUAACUUCGUGCCAGCAGCCGCGUAAAGUGACUACUG
rnacentral:rRNA from 1 species